AGCUGUUCUCAAUGCCAGCCAGUAUCAAAAAUGAGUUAUCCCGUAGAAACUGUAGUGUUCCUAGAAAAAUACAUUUUGUCUUUGCAGCGAGUCCUUAGCCGUUCUGUUUGGGAUUACUUUGUGUGGAAGAGAAGAAGCAAGGAUUUCUGAAGUCAAAGUGCUUCUGUGGGGAGCUCAUCUCCUCGCACUUCGGAGGAACUGCUGUUGGUGCCCUUGCUGAGGUAAAAUACACGCUGUCGGGAUGUGAGAAGGAGGGAGACGCUCAGUGUAAAUAAAUUCCAGCUUCAAAUGCCUGCCUUCUGCGAAUUCAGGAGCUACUGGUGACAGCAAACGCUGUGAUGGUAGACAUCUAAAGAAAAGGUGUAAAUCUUACUAAUGAGGUGCUGAAUUUGUUUAUCCCAGUAGGCCUCUGAGGGGUCAUCUGCACCUUUGUCAGCCCUCAGAGGGGGGACAGAGAGUCCCCCUGGGCUGAGGGUUGCCUGCCCAACUUGCUGUACCGCUGCUCUGCUGACCGUGUUACAGUGCUACGGGAUGCUUCUCCAACAGGGUGACGUUUGUGACACCAUGGAUGGAAAUGGAAAAAAUAUAACAUCCUGCUGUCAUGCCUCAAAGAACAACUGGGAAUGGGUUUUGUUGCAGGCAGGUUUGAAAUUUAGUUUCGUCACAUCACAUUUAUGCUGCUUGUAAAGGCUUUCUAGUCAUCGGAAGGACGCAUCUGUUUCAUGGCUGAACGUUUUUCAGCCGGUGACAGUUCUCAUCAAUAGC